ACCUACGGGGCGCAGCAGUGAGGAAUAUUGGUCAAUGGGCUUACGCCUGAACCAGCCAAGUCGCGUGAGGGAAGACUGCCCUAUGGGUUGUAAACCUCUUUUGUCAGGGAGCAACGCCGGCUACGUGUAGCCGGACUGAGAGUACCUGAAGAAAAAGCAUCGGCUAACUCCGUGCCAGCAGCCGCGGUAAUACGGAGGAUGCGAGCGUUAUCCGGAUUUAUUGGGUUUAAAGGGUGCGCAGGCGAAAUGUCAAGUCAGCGGUAAAAUUUCGGGGCUCAACCCCGUCGUGCCGUUGAAACUGGCGU
rnacentral:rRNA from 1 species